GAUUAUAUAGUUUAAUAAAAAUUUUAAAUUGCAAGUUUAAAGAUACAUUGUGAAUAAUGUUAUGAUUU
rnacentral:tRNA from 1 species